rnacentral:rRNA from 1 species
AUUGAACGCUGGCGGCAGGCCUAACACAUGCAAGUCGAGCGGAGCGGCGGACGGGUGAGUAAUGCCUAGGAAUCUGCCUGGUAGUGGGGGACAACGUCCGGAAACGGGCGCUAAUACCGCAUACUAUCAGAUGAGCCUAGGUCGGAUUAGCUAGUUGGUGGGGUAAAGGCCUACCAAGGCGACGAUCCGUAACUGGUCUGCGAGGAAGAUCAGUCACACGGAAACUGAGACGCGGUGCAGACUCCUGCGGGAGGCAUCAGUGGGGAAGAUUGGACAAUGGGCGAAAGCCUGAUCCAGCCGUGCCGCGUGUGUGAAGAAGGUCUUCGGAUUGUAAAGCACUUUAAGUUGGGAGGCGUUACCAACAGAUUCAGCACCGGCUAACUUCGUGCCAGCCGCCGCGGUAAUAC